GUGACCUGCGGAGGAUCAUUACCGAGUGCGGGAACCCAGUCGGGUCCCAAUCUCCCACCCGUGUCUACCACACCUAGUGUUGCUUUGGCGGGCCCACUCCUCCGGUGUUCCGCCGGGGGGGUCGUCCCGGGGCGCGGUGUGCCCCCGGGGCCCGUGCCCGCCAGAGGCACUCACUGUGAACGCUUUUGUGAAUGCGAGGAUUGUCUGAGUGACGAAAUGCAAUCGUUCAAAACUUUCAACAAUGGAUCUCUUGGUUCCGGCAUCGAUGAAGAACGCAGCGAAAUGCGAUAAGUAAUGUGAAUUGCAGAAUUCCGUGAAUCAUCGAAUCUUUGAACGCACAUUGCGCCCUCUGGUAUUCCGGGGGGCAUGCCUGUCCGAGCGUCAUUGCGAACCCUCAAGCACGGCUUGUGUGUUGGGCCGCCGUCCCCUCGUUUGGAGGGGACGGGCCUGAAAGGCAGCGGCGGCGUCGCGUCCGGUCCUCGAGCGUAUGGGGCUCUGUCACGCGCUCAAGGAGGGGUCCGGCCGGGGCCAUAGCCUCUGAAGGUCAAUUCUUCCAAGGUUGACCUCGGAUCAGGUAGGAGUACCCGCUGAACUUAAGCAUAUCAAUA
rnacentral:rRNA from 1 species